rfam:Triticum aestivum genome assembly, contig: Triticum_aestivum_CS42_TGACv1_scaffold_146868_2BS
CUACUACUCCCUCUGUCCUGAAUUAGUUGUCUCAGAUUUGUCUAGAUAUGGAUGUACCUAAACACUAAAAAGUGUCUAGAUACAUCCGUAUCUGGACAAAUCUGAGACAAUUAAUUCGGGACGGAGGUAAUAGUAU